UCCCCGGUGGCGCAAUUGGCUAGCGCGUUCGACUGUUAAUUCUGGGAUCCCCAGUUAGCAAUCGAGAGGUUGAAAGUUCAAGCCUUUCCCGGGGAG